rnacentral:tRNA from 1 species
GCGGACAGUAGCACAGAGUGGAGUGCCCUUGAUUGAGGAGACCCCGGUUCAAAUCCGGGCGUCCGCC